rnacentral:rRNA from 1 species
CAGGUGGUGCAUGGGUUGUCGUCAGCUCGUGUCGUGAGAUGUUGGGUUAAGUCCCGCAACGAGCGCAACCCUCGCCUCUAGUUGCCAGCAUUCGGUUGGGCACUCUAGAGGGACUGCCGGCGACAAGUCGGAGGAAGUGGGAUGACGUCAAAUCAUCAUGCCCCUUAUGACCUGGGCUACACACGUGCUACAAUGGGCGGUACAAAGGGCUGCGAACCCGCGAGGGGGAGUGAAUCCCAAAAAGCCGCUCUCAGUUCGGAUUGCAGGCUGCAACUCGCCUGCAUGAAGCCGGAAUCGCUAGUAAUCGCGGAUCAGCAUGCCGCGGUGAAUACGUUCCCGGGCCUU